GAUCCUGGCUCAGAACGAACGCUGGCGGCAGGCUUAACACAUGCAAGUUGAACGGGAUUUGUAUGGUGCUUGCACCAUGUAAUGAGAGUAGCGCACUGGUGAGUAACACGCGGGAACAUACCUUGAAGAGGGGGACAACAGUUGGAAACGACUGCUAAUACCGCAUGACGCAUAGAGGUCGCAUGAUCUUUAUGCCAAAGAUUUAUCGCUUCAAGAUGGCCUCGCG
rnacentral:rRNA from 1 species